UGGGGAAUAUUGCACAAUGGGCGCAAGCCUGAUGCAGCAACGCCGCGUGAACGAUGAAGGUCUUCGGAUCGUAAAGUUCUGUUGCAGGGGAAGAUAAUGACGGUACCCUGUGAGGAAGCCCCGGCUAACUACGUGCCAGCAGCCGCGGUAAUACGUAGGGGGCUAGCGUUAUCCGGAUUUACUGGGCGUAAAGGGUGCGUAGGUGGUCUUUCAAGUCGGUGGUUAAAGGCUACGGCUCAACCGUAGUUAGCCUCCGAAACUGGAAGACUUGAGUGAAGGAGAGGAAAGUGGAAUUCCCAGUGUAGCGGUGAAAUGCGUAGAUAUUGGGAGGAACACCAGUAGCGAAGGCGGCUUUCUGGACGGCAACUGACACUGAGGCACGAAAGCGUGGGUAGCAAACAGG
rnacentral:rRNA from 1 species